rnacentral:tRNA from 1 species
GGGGGAGUGGCGCAAUUGGUUAGCGCUCCGGACUGUCGAUCCGGUGGUUGCGGGUUCGAGCCCCGUCUCUCCCGCCA